CCACAGCUGUGGUAGCUUCUGUGUCUGCUUGUUCCCAGGCAUGAUCCUGCCUUGGCCCCAGCCUUCCCUUAUGUCAGCCCAUAUGAUGGAUUGAAGAAGAUAAAUUUGCCUGGAGUCUUUGCAUACGUGAUCCCUGUCAAAUAAAACCAGCGGUGCGCAUCAUGACCAGAAGCGUGUGGGGCAUUGUGGGACGGCUUCUGAAAGCCAGCAACAGUCAAUGUAAGCAACACAGCGUCUACACAAGACUGUGUUGAUCUAACUACAUCAACAUUGGCUCUACGCCACUCGUGGAGGUGGAGUUAUUAAGUCGAUGCAGCAGAUGGUGUUCUGCAGAUCUGAAAUGAAAUGAAGACUAUUUUUCAAUCUGUCAUGAAACUACACCUAGGGAGGAGUGCUGCUGAUUUACUGGUUUAUGGACACAAAGUCCACUAAGGAAUGCUAGCUAUUGAAUUUGGAACUCUGAAUUACCUGAAGUAUGGACAUCGUGUGUAAACAGUUAAAUCCUUAGAAACUGAAGUUGUAUUCUAAACCCUUUGUGGUAGGAACUGUCUGUCUCUAUGUGCUGAUACAGUACCUAUACACAAUGAAACAUUAAUCCUGUCUGGAGUCCAUGAAUGGAGCUACUGUAAUACAAAUAAUAAAUAACCAUCCUUUGUAUUUAGCCCAAGGACGGUCUAGAGUAAGUUACAAUUAAUUUAAUUUAAUUAAUUACAAUUAAAUAAGUUACAAAGUUACAUUUGUUUUUGAUACACCCACUUCAGAGGGAGUAUACAAAUGAUUAGUAUGCUUCU